rnacentral:rRNA from 1 species
GUCGAGCGAUUUACUUCGGUAAAGAGCGGCGGACGGGUGAGUAACGCGUGGGUAACCUGCCCUGUACACACGGAUAACAUACCGAAAGGUAUGCUAAUACGAGAUAAAAUACUUUUAUCGCAUGGUAGAAGUAUCAAAGCUUUUGCGGUACAGGAUGGACCCGCGUCUGAUUAGCUAGUUGGUAAGGUAACGGCUUACCAAGGCGACGAUCAGUAGCCGACCUGAGAGGGUGAUCGGCCACAUUGGAACUGAGACACGGUCCAAACUCCUACGGGAGGCAGCAGUGGGGAAUAUUGCACAAUGGGCGAAAGCCUGAUGCAGCAACGCCGCGUGAGCGAUGAAGGCCUUCGGGUCGUAAAGCUCUGUCCUCAAGGAAGAUAAUGACGGUACUUGAGGAGGAAGCCCCGGCUAACUACGUGCCAGCAGCCGCGGUAAUACGUAGGGGGCUAGCGUUAUCCGGAAUUACUGGGCGUAAAGGGUGCGUAGGUGGUUUCUUAAGUCAGAGGUGAAAGGCUACGGCUCAACCGUAGUAAGCCUUUGAAACUGGGGAACUUGAGUGCAGGAGAGGAGAGUGGAAUUCCUAGUGUAGCGGUGAAAUGCGUAGAUAUUAGGAGGAACACCAGUUGCGAAGGCGGCUCUCUGGACUGUAACUGACACUGAGGCACGAAAGCGUGGGGAGCAAACAGGAUUAGAUACCCUGGUAGUCCACGCCGUAAACGAUGAGUACUAGCUGUCGGAGGUUACCCCCUUCGGUGGCGCAGCUAACGCAUUAAGUACUCCGCCUGGGAAGUACGCU